rnacentral:rRNA from 1 species
UACGAAGGGGGCUAGCGUUGUUCGGAAUUACUGGGCGUAAAGCGCACGUAGGCGGACUACUAAGUCAGGGGUGAAAUCCCGGGGCUCAACCCCGGAACUGCCUUUGAUACUGGUAGUCUCGAGUCCGGAAGAGGUGAGUGGAAUUCCGAGUGUAGAGGUGAAAUUCAUAGAUAUUCGGAGGAACACCAGUGGCGAAGGCGGCUCACUGGUCCGGUACUGACGCUGAGGUGCGAAAGCGUGGGGAGCAAACAGG